rnacentral:rRNA from 1 species
CCUACGGGUGGCAGCAGUGGGGAAUAUUGGGCAAUGGGCGCAAGCCUGACCCAGCAACGCCGCGUGAAGGAAGAAGGCUUUCGGGUUGUAAACUUCUUUUGUCAGGGAAGAGUAGAAUGCGGUUCCUGACGAAUAAGACACGGCUAACUACGUGCCAGCAGCCCCGGUAAUACGGAGGUGGCAAGCGUUGUCCGGAUUUACUGGGUGUAAAGGGCAGGUAGCCGGGUUGACAAAUCAGAUGUGAAAUCCUGCGGCUUAACCGGGGAAAUGCAUUUGAAACUGUUUGUCUUGAGUACUGGAGAGGCAGAUGGAAUUCCUAGUGUAGCGGUGAAAUGCGUAGAUAUUAGGAGGAACACCAGUGGCGAAGGCGGUCUGCUGGACAGAAACUGACGGUGAGGCGCGAAAGCGUGGGGAGCAAACAGGAUUAGAUACCCGAGUAGUC